rnacentral:rRNA from 1 species
GACGAACGCUGGCGGCGUGCCUAAUACAUGCAAGUAGAACGCUGAAGGAGGAGCUUGCUCUUCUGGAUGAGUUGCGAACGGGUGAGUAACGCGUAGGUAACCUGCCUAUUAGAGGGGGAUAACUAUUGGAAACGAUAGCUAAUACCGCAUAACAGUAUGUAACACAUGUUAGAUGCUUGAAAGAUGCAAUUGCAUCGCUAGUAGAUGGACCUGCGUUGUAUUAGCUAGUAGGUAGGGUAAUGGCCUACCUAGGCGACGAUACAUAGCCGACCUGAGAGGGUGAUCGGCCACACUGGGACUGAGACACGGCCCAGACUCCUACGGGAGGCAGCAGUAGGGAAUCUUCGGCAAUGGGGGGAACCCUGACCGAGCAACGCCGCGUGAGUGAAGAAGGUUUUCGGAUCGUAAAGCUCUGUUGUUAAGGAAGAACGAGUGUGAGAAUGGAAAGUUCAUACUGUGACGGUACUUAACCAGAAAGGGACGGCUAACUACGUGCCAGCAGCCGCGGUAAUACGUAGGUCCCGAGCGUUGUCCGGAUUUAUUGGGCGUAAAGCGAGCGCAGGCGGUUAGAAAAGUCUGAAGUGAAAGGCAGUGGCUCAACCAUUGUAGGCUUUGGAAACUGUUUAACUUGAGUGCAGAAGGGGAGAGUGGAAUUCCAUGUGUAGCGGUGAAAUGCGUAGAUAUAUGGAGGAACACCGGUGGCGAAAGCGGCUCUCUGGUCUGUAACUGACGCUGAGGCUCGAAAGCGUGGGGAGCGAACAGG